rnacentral:rRNA from 1 species
CCCUUAGAUGUUCUGGGCCGCACGCGCGCUACACUGAUACGUUCAACGAGUCCAAAACCUUGAUUGAUAGGUCUGGGUAAUCUUUUGAAGACGUAUCGUGCUAGGGAUAGAUUAUUGCAAUUAUUAAUCUUGAACGAGGAAUUCCUAGUAAACGCAAGUCAUCAGCUUGCAUUGAUUACGUCCCUGCCCUUUGUACACACCGCCCGUCGCACCUACCGAUUGAAUGACUCGGUGAAAAUUUGGGACUGUGAUUGAAAUUGCUUCAUUGCGAAUUUAAUUAUGGAAACUUUCUUUAACCUAGGCAUUUAGAGGAAGGUGAAGUCGUAACA